UACGUAGGGGGCAAGCGUUGUUCGGAAUUACUGGGCGUAAAGCGUGCGUAGACGGUUACAUAAGUCGGGUGUGAAAGCCCCGGGCUCAACCUGGGAAUUGCAUUCGAGACUGCGUAGCUAGGGUGCGGAAGAGGGAAGCGGAAUUUCCGGUGUAGCGGUGAAGUGCGUAGAUAUCGGAAGGAACACCAGUGGCGAAAGCGGCUUCCUGGUCCAGCACCGACGUUCAGGCACGAAAGCGUGGGGAGCAAACAGG
rnacentral:rRNA from 1 species